UUGCCCUAGUAACGGCGAGUGAAGCGGCAACAGCUCAAAUUUGAAAUCUGGCUCUUUUAGGGUCCGAGUUGUAAUUUGCAGAGGGCGCUUUGGCGUUGGCAGCGGUCCAAGUUCUUUGGAACAGGACGUCACAGAGGGUGAGAAUCCCGUACGUGGUCGCUAUCCUUCGCCGUGUAAAGCCCCUUCGACGAGUCGAGUUGUUUGGGAAUGCAGCUCUAAAUGGGAGGUAAAUUUCUUCUAAAGCUAAAUACUGGCCAGAGACCGAUAGCGCACAAGUAGAGUGAUCGAAAGAUGAAAAGCACUUUGGAAAGAGAGUCAAAUAGCACGUGAAAUUGUUGAAAGGGAAGCGCUUGCAGCCAGACUUGCCUGUAGUUGCUUAUCCGGACUUUUGUCCGGUGCACUCUUCUGCGGGUAGGCCAGCAUCAGUUUGGGCGGUUAGAUAAAGGUCUCUGUCAUGUACCUCUCUUCGGGGAGGCCUUAUAGGGGAGACGACAUGUAACCAGCCUGGACUGAGGUCCGCGCAUCUGCUAGGAUGCUGGCGUAAUGGCUGUAAGCGGCCCGUCUUGAAACACGGACCAAGGAGUCUAACAUCUAUGCGAGUGUUUGGGUGUCAAGCCCAGACGCGUAAUGAAAGUGAACGGAGGUAGGAACCCUUUGGGUGCACUAUCGACCGAUCCUGAUGUCUUCGGAAGGAUUUGAGUAAGAGCAUGGCUGUUGGGACCCGAAAGAUGGUGAACUAUGCUUGAAUAGGGUGAAGCCAGAGGAAACUCUGGUGGAGGCUCGCAGCGGUUCUGACGUGCAAAUCGAUCGUCAAAUUG
rnacentral:rRNA from 1 species